GAGUAUGCGGAAGUACCACUUUAUCACACAAAAACGCAGUAAAAAGCAGAGGCUCUGAUCCAGCUUUGCUGCCUGGAAAAAGAAUGACUGUCAUAGACAACAAAGUUCUGGAUCUCGUCGACAAGGUAUUCUCAUUCUUCAACCAAAGCAUGGCCACGGUUUUGAAUGGGCUGCUGCAUCCUCUGCCAGGGUGUGAUGCAGCAUCUGGAUUCUACUUGCUUCCGUGGUGAUUGGCAGAACCUCGCCGUUUCUUCCGGAAGAAAUUGCCAUUGCUGAUUCGGCAUGAAAUCACAUCCAAGAACAAUCCAGGGAACAGAAUCCAUUUGAGAUAAAGAAGACACCUUUCAUAUCAGUAACUGGAAGACAGUCAAGGAAACCUCUCUGAGAUCCUGCAUGGAGCCCCACAUACAGCUUCCUGUUCCACUGGAAUCAGAGGCAGUUGGGGGAAAGUCUCAAAUCAUCACAUGGAGAAACAACCUCUACUACUUUUAAAUUCUUCUGAAGUGACUAACUUGAUGGUUGGAUAUGUGCUUCACACAUGUUCAGCAUUACAGUAGAGUAAUAAAUAACUAUGUUGUAAAGAUUUCCAAGGAUCAGCUUCUGCACUGCAUAGUUAUUAAUAAACCAAUAAAAUGUAAUUUAUUUCUCUUUGA
rnacentral:lncRNA from 1 species